rnacentral:rRNA from 1 species
GGUCAGGACGAACGCUGGCGGCGUGCCUAACACAUGCAAGGUCGAACGGGGAUUUGUUUCGGCAGAAUCCUAGUGGCGAACGGGUGAGUAACGCGUAGGCAACCUGCCCUCCGGCCGGGGGACAACACUCCGAAAGGGGUGCUAAUACCGGAUACGAAGUCUGUGCCGCAUGGUACGGAUUUGAAAGAUGGCCUCUAUUUAUAAGCUAUCGCCGGGGGAUGGGCCUGGCGUCCGAUUAGCUGGUUGGUGGGGUGACGGCCUACCAAGGCGACGAUCGGUAGCCGGUCUGAGAGGAUGAACGGCCACAUUGGGACUGAGACACGGCCCAGACUCCUACGGGAGGCAGCAGUGGGGAAUCUUCCGCAAUGGGCGCAAGCCUGACGGAGCAACGCCGCGUGAGUGAGGAAGUUCUUCGGAACGUAAAGCUCUGUUGUUCCUGACGAACCUCCCUUCUAUCAACAACGGAGGGGACUGACGGUAGGGAACGAGGAAGCCACGGCUAACUACGUGCCAGCCGCCGC